rnacentral:rRNA from 1 species
UGGGUAACCUGGCCUGUAAGACUGGGAUCACUCCGGGAAACCGGGGCUAAUACCGGAUGCUUGAUUGAACCGCAUGGUUCAAUCAUAAAAGGCGGCUUCGGCUGCCGUUUACAGAUGGACCCGCGGCGCAUUAGCUAGUUGGUGAGGUAACGGCUCACCAAGGCGACGAUGCGUAGCCGACCUGAGAGGGUGAUCGGCCACACUGGGACUGAGACACGGCCCAGACUCCUACGGGAGGCAGCAGUAGGGAAUCUUCCGCAAUGGACGAAAGUCUGACGGAGCAACGCCGCGUGAGUGAUGAAGGUUUUCGGAUCGUACAGCUCUGUUGUUAGGGAAGAACAAUACCGUUCGAAUAGGGCGGUACCUUGACGGUACCUAACCAGAGAGCCACGGCUAACUAC